GACUCCUUGGACUGCGACUUCACUGUGACCCGAGAGGAGGUGGCCACUCAACGCUGAGGUCACACGGCUCCCUUCCUUAUGCAGGAUUCCCUGGAAUGUGACUUCACUGUGACCCGAGAGGAGGUACCUCGGCCACUCAACGCUGAGGUCACACGGCUCUCUUCCUUAUGCAGGAAAGUCAAGUCCCUGAAUGCUGCCAAGGAGAGACACUGCUGCUGGAACACUGCACCAC